rnacentral:rRNA from 1 species
GGAUAACCCNGGGAAACUGGGGAUAAUACCGGAUAACGCAUANNNGCUGGAAUGCUUUAUGCGUAAAAUGGAUUUGUCUGCCCAAGGAUGGGNNNGCGGCCUAUCAGGUAGUAGUGGGUGUAAUGUACCUACUAGCCUACGACGGGUACGGGUUGUGAGAGCAAGAGCCCGGAGAUGGAUUCUGAGACAUGAAUCCAGGCCCUACGGGGCGCAGCAGGCGCGAAAACUUUACAAUGCGGGAAACCGUGAUAAGGGGACACCGAGUGCCAGCAUCAUAUGUUGGCUGUCCAGAUGUGUAAAAUACAUCUGUUAGCAAGGGCCGGGCAAGACCGGUGCCAGCCGCCGCGGUAACACCGGCGGCCCGAGUGGUGAUCGUGAUUAUUGGGUCUAAAGGGUCCGUAGCCGGUUUGGUCAGUCCUCCGGGAAAUCUGACGGCUCAACCGUUAGGCUUUCGGUGGAUACUGCCAGACUUGGAACCGGGAGAGGUAAGAGGUACUACAGGGGUAGGAGUGAAAUCUUGUAAUCCCUGUGAGACCACCUGUGGCGAAGGCGUCUUACCAGAACGGGUUCGACGGUGAGGGACGAAAGCUGGGGGCACGAACCGGAUUAGAUACCCGGGUAGUCCCAGCCGUAAACGAUGCUCGCUAGGUGUCAGGCAUGGCGCGACCGUGUCUGGUGCCGCAGGGAAGCCGUGAAGCGAGCCACCUGGGAAGUACGGCCGCAAGGCUGAAACUUAAAGGAAUUGGCGGGGGAGCAAGGCUGAAACUUAAAGGAAUUGGCGGGGGAGC